ACGGGGCCGCACAAGCGGUGAGCAUGUGGUUUAAUUCGAAGCAACGCGAAGAACCUUACCAGGUCUUGACAUCCCGAUGCUAUUUCUAGAGAUAGAAAGUUACUUCGGUACAUCGGUGACAGGUGGUGCAUGGUUGUCGUCAGCUCGUGUCGUGAGAUGUUGGGUUAAGUCCCGCAACGAGCGCAACCCCUAUUGUUAGUUGCCAUCAUUCAGUUGGGCACUCUAGCGAGACUGCCGGUAAUAAACCGGAGGAAGGUGGGGAUGACGUCAAAUCAUCAUGCCCCUUAUGACCUGGGCUACACACGUGCUACAAUGGUUGGUACAACGAGUUGCGAGUCGGUGACGGCGAGCUAAUCUCUUAAAGCCAAUCUCAGUUCGGAUUGUAGGCUGCAACUCGCCUACAUGAAGUCGGAAUCGCUAGUAAUCGCGGAUCAGCACGCCGCGGUGAAUACGUUCCCGGGCCUU
rnacentral:rRNA from 1 species